GUGCUCACUUCAGCAGCAUAUACACUAAAAAAAUUGGAAUAAUACACAGAAGAUUAGCAUGGCCCCAUGCAAGGUCGACAUGCUAAUUCAUGAAACAUUCAUAUGAAAA